AAGCACGGCUUCGCAGCGCGCACACGGGGAGCUUGCUCCCAGAGAUGCUGCGAGGAAAGUCCCCGUGCCUUGGUGCAGAGAGUGCGAGUGGGAGACCGCAGGGCUCGUGCCAGACCUCCAGUGGUGAUGCUUCUCGUGGAGCCUUGGUGGCGGUUUCGCGGAGCCUUGGUGUCAGGCUCGGGCCCUUCGCAUCAGCACAGACAUGCCGUGAGCGCUCCUGAUUGGAGCGCCAACAGAACGGGGCUCACUCUCC
rnacentral:RNase_MRP_RNA from 1 species